rnacentral:rRNA from 1 species
GACGAACGCUGGCGGCGCGCUUAACACAUGCAAGUCGAACGGAAAGGCCUGCUUUCCCUUGUGGAUUGCGGGUACUCGAGUGGCGAACGGGUGAGUAACACGUGAGUGAUCUGCCCCCAACUUGGGUAUAAGCCUGGGAAACUGGGUCUAAUUCCCGAUAGGACUGCAGGGUGGUGCCUGUGGUGGAAAACGAUUUUCUAGUGGUUGGGGAUAAGCUCGCGGCCUAUCAGCUUGUUGGUGGGGUAAUGGCCUACCAAGGCGGCGACGGGUAGCCGGCCUGAGAGGGUGGACGGAAACAUUGGGACGGGGAGACGGCCCAGAAGCGUAGGGGAGGCAGCAGUGGGGAAUAUAGCACAAUGGGCGGAAGCCUGAUGCAGCGACGCCGCGUGGGGGAUGACGGGCUUCGGGUUGUAAACUCCUUGCGACCGCGAGGAAGCCACCUGGUUGGAAGGGUGGUGACGGUAGUGGUAGAAGAAGCACCGGCUAACUACGUG